CAUCAGUCUGGUCCGCUGUGAAGGAAGCUUUUCCCUGGAAGAAACCCACAUCGAUGAAGUUCCCGUAAGUCCACUCCUGUGUCAGCAUUUCAAUGUAGUACCUGCGGACAGAUGAGGUUAUCAGGGAGAUCAGGUAUACAAAAUAUCCAACAAUGAACAACUGGCAUCUUUUUCUGGAGGGCAAGAAGGGAUUGACUUACGCUUUCCCCUUCUCCAGGGCCAAGAGAUCAGACUUCUGCGUGCCGUCGUUUGAGUAGGUGGGACUGUAACGAUUGUUGUACGCAAUCUUGACCUGAGAAUGAAGUCAUGAAGUGAAAUCACCAGUCUGACAUGUGAAGCAGGGACAGUUGGACUGCUGUGUCUGUCGUACCUUAUCUUUGGGGUCCCCGGUCAGACUGAAGUAGAGCUCACAGCGGUCGUCUCCCCUGAUGUAGAAGGUGUAGUCAUUGGUGUCUGUCGGCACGAAGAACCCUCUGAGUCUCUCCACAAAGUACUCCAGCUCCUGCGGCAGGACGUGGGGCAUGGAGUCUGCCCAUCCCUGCCAGUACCCUGUCAUGUUCCCAUCGUAGGCCAACACAUCCGCCAAGGAAGUCUGACGGCGAGGCUUGAAAUCUUUCUCACCAGGGAAGACGGUGCUGUUGCUCUGGGACUGGGCUGGAGUUCUGCAGGACCUAACCCUCACCCAGAUUGA